GAUGAACGCUAGCGGCAGGCUUAACACAUGCAAGUCGAGGGGUAGAGGCUUUCGGGCCUCGAGACCGGCGCACGGGUGCGUAACGCGUAUGCAAUCUGCCUUGUACUGGGGGAUAGCCCAGAGAAAUUUGGAUUAAUACCCCAUAGUAUUUUCGGUUGGCAUCAACUGAUUAUUAAAGUUUUUCGGUACAAGAUGAGCAUGCGUCCCAUUAGCUAGUUGGUAUGGUAACGGCAUACCAAGGCUACGAUGGGUAGGGGUCCUGAGAGGGAGAUCCCCCACACUGGUACUGAGACACGGACCAGACUCCUACGGGAGGCAGCAGUGAGGAAUAUUGGUCAAUGGUCGCAAGACUGAACCAGCCAUGCCGCGUGCAGGAUGAAGCAUCUAUGGUGUGUAAACUGCUUUUGUACGGGAAGAAACACCGCUACGUGUAGCAGCUUGACGGUACCGUAAGAAUAAGGAUCGGCUAACUCCGUGCCAGCCGCCGCGGUAAUAC
rnacentral:rRNA from 1 species